UACGGGGGGGGCAAGCGUUGUUCGGAAUUACUGGGCGUAAAGGGUUCGUAGGCGGCUUGUUAAGUCAGACGUGAAAUCCCUCGGCUCAACCGGGGAACUGCGUCUGAGACUGAUGAGCUCGAGUGCAGGAGAGGAACGCGGAAUUCCAGGUGUAGCGGUGAAAUGCGCAGAUAUCAGGAGGAACACCGAUGGCGAAGGCAGGUCUCUGGGCCGAUACUGACGCUGAGGAGCGAAAGCGUGGGGAGCGAACAGG
rnacentral:rRNA from 1 species